rnacentral:rRNA from 1 species
GACGAACGCUGGCGGCGUGCUUAACACAUGCAAGUCGAGCGGUAAGGCCCUUUCGGGGGUACGACGAGCGGCGAACGGGUGAGUAACACGUGGGUGACCUGCCCUCAGCUCUGGGAUAAGCCUGGGAAACCGGGUCUAAUACUGGAUAUGACUCCAUGACGCAUGUUGGUGGGGUGGAAAGCCUUGUGCGGCUGAGGAUGGGCCCGCGGCCUAUCAGCUUGUUGGUGGGGUGANGGCCUACCAAGGCGACGACGGGUAGCCGGCCUGAGAGGGCGACCGGCCACACUGGGACUGAGACACGGCCCAGACUCCUACGGGAGGCAGCAGUGGGGAAUCUUGCGCAAUGGGCGAAAGCCUGACGCAGCGACGCCGCGUGAGGGAUGACGGCCUCGGUGUAAC